rnacentral:lncRNA from 10 species
AACAUAAACCACUUACAGCUUCAGAAAGGAAAGGAGACAGAAGCAGCAACAUCUCAACAACCAAUUUCCAAUACUAUGAAUCAGAUCAUUUCAAAGCAGUUCCCAGAAACAUGAAGGGAAAGACUACUGAUGAGAGAUGCUUCCAAAUUAAAAGUGGCAAAGGACUCAGGAUAUUUAAGGAUGAGAUUCCAUUGCCUGAUCUCUUUGUCUUUACAUUCACUUAUCUGCAGUCUGACUCUCUCCUCUCACCAUGGAAUGGAAACUUAGAGUAAGUUCGUAUGUGGCAGUGCUUUGAAAUUCCAGAUGCACCAGAGAGCUUCAAAAACAAACAGAAAACAGAAGACUCAGGGCUACCCUAAAUCAACUGAUUCAUAAUUUCAGAAUGAGAUCCACAGGCAUUGGCAUUUUUUAGAUGAAAGAAAGCUUCCCAGGUGUCUCUAGUGUGCAGCUACGGCUGUGAUCCCCUGAGUUAGAAGCUGAGAAUGUGUGAAGAGGUGUUGCAUAAGGAGUAUCUUGCCUGAUAAGAUUUAUGCAGAAGCCUCU